AGAACAACUCUCAGCAACGGAUAUCUUGGCUCUUGCAACGAUGAAGAACGCAGCGAAAUGCGAUACGUAGUGUGAAUUGCAGAAUUCCGCGAAUCAUCGAGUCUUUGAACGCAAGUUGCGCCCGAGGCUUGUCCGAGGGCAUKUCCGCUAGAGCGUCACC
rnacentral:rRNA from 1 species